AUGGACAAGUCCAGCGCCCUCGAGUACAUCAACCAGAUGUUCCCCACCGAGGCGUCGCUGUCGGGGGUCGAGCCGCUGAUGCAGAAGAUUCAGAGCGAGAUUCGCCGGGUGGACGCCAGCAUCCUCGCCGCCGUCCGACAGCAGAGUAACUCGGGAACCAAGGCCAAGGAAGAACUUGCUGCAGCCACAAAUGCUGUUCAGGAACUAAUGUAUAAGAUACGUGAAAUAAAAACGAAGGCUGAACAAAGUGAAACAAUGGUUCAAGAAAUCUGCCGGGACAUAAAGAAGUUGGAUUGCGCCAAGAGGCAUAUAACAACUACAAUAACGGCUCUUCACCGCCUUACUAUGCUUGUUUCUGCUGUCGAGCAACUUCAGGUCAUGGCCUCAAAGCGUCAGUACAAAGAAGCAGCUGCACAACUCGAGGCAGUGAACCAGCUGUGCAGUCAUUUUGAAGCCUAUCGGGAUGUGCCAAAAAUAUCAGAGCUCAGAGAGAAACUCAAGAACAUCAAGAAAAUCCUCAAAUCUCAUGUAUAUUCAGAUUUUACAAGCUUAGGGACUGGGAAGGAAACAGAAGAUGAGGAUCUAUUGCAGCAGCUAUCUGAUGCUUGUUUGGUGGUUGAUGCUCUGGAACCGUCCGUGAGGGAAGAACUAGUAAAGAAUUUUUGCAGCAAGGAGCUUAUCUCGUAUAAGCAGAUCUUUGACGGAGCAGAAUUGGCCAAGUUAGACAAGACUGAAAGGAGAUAUGCAUGGAUUAAGCGUCGAUUGCGGUCAAAUGAAGAUACCUGGAAAAUAUUUCCACCUUCCUGGCAUGUUGAUUAUCUGUUGUGUAUCCAGUUCUGCAAGAUUACAAGGACCCAACUUGUCGAUAUCCUGAAUAAUCUCAAAGAAAAGCCAGAUGUUGCAACUUUAUUAUUGGCGUUGCAAAGAACCCUUGAAUUUGAGGAAGAACUGGCUGAGAAAUUCAGUGGAGGAACCACGACUGCUCGGAAUAGAGAGCUGGAAAGUGAUGAUGAAAAUGAGGGUACGGAACACAAUAAAAUUGUUUCAGAUAUACGGAAGAAAUACGAGAAGAAACUGGGAGUGCCCAAUGAUGAAGCUGAACAAGACAAAGAGAAGCAGAAAGAUUUGUCAGUUCCUGGUGCUGGGUUCAACUUUCAUGGGAUUAUAUCAUCUUGUUUUGAGCCAUACAUGGCUGUGUACAUAGAACUAGAGGAGAAAUCUUUGGUCGAACAAUUAGAUAAACUUAUCCAGGAAGAAAAAUGGGAAAUUGAGGAAGGGAGUCAAACAAACAUUCUAUCAAGCAGCAUGCAGGUGUUCUUGGUAAUUAGAAGAAGCUUAAAGAGGUGCAGUGCAUUGACAAAGAACCAAACAUUAUUCAACUUGUUUCAGGUAUUUCAAAGAAUACUUAAGGCCUAUGCAGCAAAAUUAUAUGCCAGGUUGCCAAAAGGUGGUACUGGCAUUGUUGCAGCUGCUACUGGUACCGACGGGCAGAUCAGGACCUCUGACAGGGACGAGAAAAUGAUAUGUUACAUUGUAAAUACCGCAGAAUAUUGUCACCAAACGUCUGGUGAGCUAGCUGAGAAUGUUGCUAAGAUAAUUAGUUCUCAGUUUUCUGACAAGGUGGACGUGUCUGACGUUCAGGAUGAAUUCUCAGCUGUGAUCACAAAAGCAUUGAUGACACUUGUGCAUGGCGUAGAAACCAAAUUUGACGCUGAAAUGGUUGCAAUGACUCGCGUUCCAUGGUCGACUCUUGAAAGUGUCGGCGAUCAAUCCGAGUACGUGAAUUGUAUCAGCUCUAUUUUGUCCAGUACCGUUCCUGCGCUAGGUAGCCUGCUUUCACCUACUUACUUCCAGUAUUUCCUCGACAAACUGGCUGCCUCGCUUGGUCCUCGGUUUUAUCUCAAUAUAUACAAGUGCAAGCACAUAUCGGAAACUGGUGCACAGCAGAUGCUUUUGGAUACUCAAGCGGUUAAGACUGUUCUAUUGGACAUCCCAGCUCUUGGGAAACAGACUACAGUUGCGGCUAGCUACUCAAAGUUUGUAACCCGGGAAAUGAGCAAAGCUGAAGCACUCCUCAAGGUUAUUUUGUCACCAGUUGAUUCUGUUGCCAGUACCUACCGUGCUCUCCUUCCAGAAGGCACGCCUCUUGAGUUUCAGCGGAUACUUGAGCUUAAGGGCUUGAAGAAAGCAGACCAACAAGCUAUACUGGAAGACUUCAACAAGCACAGUCCCAGCAUCAAGCACCCUACCAUUACCCCCACAGCCGCGCCACCAGUUGCCACAGCCACAGCAUCAGUCCCGAUGGCACCAGUCCCGCUCCCAACCCAAGCCGUCGCAGCGUCACCGAGCAUGUCCACCGCCUUGACGGGCGCUCUGGCCAACCGGGAGGACGUGCUCGCCCGCGCCGCAGCGCUCGGGCGCGGCGCCGCCACGACGGGGUUCAAGAGGUUCCUAGCAUUGACAGAGGCGGCCAAAGACCGGAAGGACGGGCCGUUCCGUAAGCUGUUCAACGCGUAA
rnacentral:rRNA from 1 species